GGGUAUAUCAAAAAUAUCACUGCAGUUUCAGGCUUUUCCCAACUACAUCUAUUAAUAUUUAUUUUAACGUCGUAUUAAAGUUGAAGUUUGGAAAAUUUUGGUUUUGCAUUUGAAAUCC
rnacentral:pre_miRNA from 1 species